UUGCCUCUGCCACGCCCAGUGUGCAACUUUUGAUAAGACCAAAAUGAUCGUGUCAGAGAGGCUCCGCCCAUUCCUCUUGGAGAUUAUGGCAAAAGCUGUGUGUAAUAGACUGGAAGACUUCAGAGAAACCAAAGCCAUAUAUACGAGACACGUUUGAUAAUCCACUGCAAAUUGCAGCUUAUAUUGGAGCAAUAAAUCAUGACAAUAAUUAUAAUUUUCAGGUCAACUGUGGUCUCAUAGUGGUGGCGUACAAAGAUGGUUCCCCAGCCCAUAUGCAUUUCAUGGACACAGAUCUUUGUUUGCACGUCUGGAAUAAGUGGCUGCUAAGCUUAGAAGAAUAUAAAAAGAAGAAGGAGGAGGAGAAACAGCAAUGACAACAGGACAUGGCAGUGACAUGUUUUGUUUAAGGUCCCGCAUUUAAAGUCUACUGCCCCUGCAUACACCUCGACCUGAUGUGAAUGAAAUACAAUAUGCAGAAAGGGAGGAACAUCUCAUCUGUACUUUAUAGGUGGCGCCUACAGACAGCGGAUCCAACCACUUGCAAUAUGAGAGCCUGCAGUGGCAGACACAGGUUGCUAGAAAUUCGGCUACCCUCUAUGCACUUGUAUGAAACAUUUAGAGGAUUUGUACAGGCAUACUUAUCAAUGGGUGAAUUCUCAGUUUAACCCUUUGACCAGUAAAUAGAAAGCUGCUGGACAGUGGCGGUCUCUAUUUUUACUGUUGGAUAAAUGUCCUUAUUGUAAGUAAUUCAGUGUAUAAGUCACCAUGUCACCUAGACGUAAAAAAUAAAAGCUACAUGGUAAUCUA